UGGGGUGUAGCUCAAUGACAGAGAGCUUGCCUGGUAAAAGCGUGGCUCUGGGUUCAAUUCCCAGUACUGCAA
rnacentral:tRNA from 1 species